GGGAACUCCCCAUGAACCAAACCCUAGUUCUAACAUAAUCAUCAAAUUGAGGAGUCAAAUGAAGCUCAAAUUCACAACCGAACAUGAAUUAAGGAUCACCUACUCAAGGGGAUCAUGAGGAAUCAUAUCGAGACGGAAUCAAGCACGUAUGGAUAAUGGGUCAAGAAGUGGCGAGGAAACGAAUAUGAACACGGAUGCAUGAGGUUGUGUGGAUAACGGGCGAUUAUAACAAGGAUUAGAGAUCGAAGAUCGAGUCACAAGAUAGAUUGUACGGGGACGUUGAAUGUAAAAUGUAGCAAUCAUAAGCUAUGUUUUUAAUUAGUAAAUAAGAGGAUGACGGAUUUAUGAAUAAGAGCUAUGUUAAAGUUAAAGUUUAAAUAAG